AUGUCAAUGGUCAUCGUGUUACUUCGUUCUGGUCCUGUAGUCGUACUAGGCAUCGGUGGACCUUCGAGGGACUUGCGUAUCCGAAGGGGUACUUGGCGAUCGACGGACGUCGUGGUACUUGUCGGUCUGGGUCUUGGCGUAUCCGUGUUCUCUCAAAGCAGUUGUACAGUGCAGUGGCCUGGAGCGGCACCGAUCCAGUCAACGCAGCAGUUCUCCUCCCGUUCGAAGUACAGGAGGCCGUCCAUGGAGGUUGAGGCCGCGAUGUCGGCUGAUGAACUGAAGGAGGCGACACCUCGACUCCUGCAGCAAAACAACGGCGAGGCGGAGAAGGGGCCGGCAGGCAGUAGAGGUCACGGGGAACGCAGGGGCCGCCGGCGAGCUCGCUCGGGGAGCUCCUCGGGCGCAUCUGAUCGAGGUCGAAGCUGA
rnacentral:rRNA from 1 species